rnacentral:rRNA from 1 species
GAUUCCCGGGGCUAAAGUACGAAACCGAAGCUGUGGCUGUAUACGUAAAGUAUACGGGGUAGGGGAGCGUUCCCAUAGGGUAGAAGUCGAACUGGAAGGUUCGGUGGACUUGUGGGAAGUGAGAAUGUUGGUAUGAGUAGCGAAAAGAAAGGUGAGAAUCCUUUCCACCGAAAGCAUAAGGAUUCCUGAGCAACGAUCGUCGUCUCAGGGUAAGUCGGGACCUAAUCCGAGGCAGAGAGCGUAGGAGAUGGACAACUGGUUGAUAUUCCAGUACCGGUAGUAAUUGUUUGAGCAAUGGAGUGACACAGAAGGGCAGGCAAGCAUGCGAAUGGAAGAGCAUGUGUAAGCGUGUAGGGUGGUGCAUAGGCAAAUCCGUGCACUGAAAGCCUGAGGCGUGAUGCGGAGUGAGCAGAGAUGCGAGCGAAGUUGUUGACCCCACACUGUCGAGAAAAGCUUCUAGUGAGAGAGCUACCGCCCGUACCGUAAACCGACACAGGUAUGCGGGGAGAGAAUCCUAAGGUGCGCGGGAGAACCCUCGUUAAGGAACUCGGCAAAAUGUACCCGUAACUUCGGGAUAAGGGUAGCCACUGUUGUGAAGUCCCAUGCGGAUGGAGCAUAGAGUGGUCGCAGAGAAGAGGCCCAAGCGACUGUUUACCAUAAACACAGGUGCCUGCUAAAGCGAAAGCUGACGUAUAGGUGCUGACACCUGCCCAGUGCCGGAAGGUUAAGGAAGGAUGUUCGGAUUAGUCCAAAGCAUUCGACUGAAGCCCCGGUGAACGGCGGCCGUAACUAUAACGGUCCUAAGGUAGCGAAAUUCCUUGUCGGGUAAGUUCCGACCCGCACGAAAGGUGUAACGAUUUGGGCACUGUCUCAACGAGGGGCCCGGUGAAAUUGAAAUACCUGUGAAGAUGCAGGUUACCCGCGACUGGACAGAAAGACCCCAUGGAGCUUUACUGUAACCUGACAUUGGGUUUUGAUACAUUACGUACAGGAUAGGUGGGAGGCUUGGAAAGUUGGACGCUAGUCUGACUGGAGCCGACGUUGGGAUACCACCCUUGAUGUAUUGAAAUUCUAACCGCGAGAGUAACGAAAUCCGGGACAGUGUCAGGCGGGCAGUUUGACUGGGGCGGUCGCC